rnacentral:rRNA from 1 species
CUACGGGACGCACCAGUGAGGAAUAUUGCACAAUGGGGGGAACCCUGAUGCAGCAACGCCGCGUGGAGGAUGACGCAUUUCGGUGUGUAAACUCCUUUUAUAUGUCAAGAAAAUGACGGUAGCAUAUGAAUAAGCACCGGCUAACUCCGUGCCAGCAGCCGCGGUAAUACGGAGGGUGCAAGCGUUACUCGGAAUCACUGGGCGUAAAGGACGCGUAGGCGGGUUGGAAAGUCAGGUGUGAAAUCCUACAGCUUAACUGUAGAGCUGCACUUGAAACUUCUAAUCUAGAGUAUGGGAGGGGGAGAUGGAAUUAGUGGUGUAGGGGUAAAAUCCAUAGAUAUCACUAGGAAUACCUAAAGCGAAGGCGAUCUCCUGGAACAUUACUGACGCUAAGGCGUGAAAGCGUGGGGAGCAAACAGGAUUAGAUACCCGAGUAGUC